ACAGAACCUAUUCUCUGGGGAAGAACUGACAUAGGAGACGUGACUAAGUUGCAGUUGACAAUGGAUCUGAGAACGCUGUCUGGGCUUGGUACCAAGAGCUGGUAUUUCACAGCAGCGACCGCCUCACAGACGAGCUGUGGGAAGCAGGAGGGAGACUCUCUCUUAGGGUGCCACUACUAUGGAGACACAGCUGGGCUGAACAAGAUUUGCUUCAAACGACAACAAGAGAGACAGAAAGUAUCUGGUUCAACCGCUGCCCGAGCAGGCAGGCACCAGAAGAGCUAGCAGCCAAUCCGGCCAUGCUCGAAGCCAGCUCUGCAGCUCAGCCAAUCAGUGACAUCAUUGGUGAGAAACUCAUUUACAUCAUGCAGUAAUGAACUUUGUUUAACAUAGACUUCCCCCUU
rnacentral:lncRNA from 1 species